UACGUAGGGUGCAAGCGUUGCCCGGAAUUAUUGGGCGUAAAGAGCUCGUAGGCGGCUUGUUGCGUCGACUGUGAAAACCCGCGGCUUAACUGCGGGCUUGCAGUUGAUACGGGCAGGCUAGAGUUCGGUAGGGGAGACUGGAAUUCCUGGUGUAGCGGUGAAAUGCGCAGAUAUCAGGAGGAACACCGGUGGCGAAGGCGGGUCUCUGGGCCGAUACUGACGCUGAGGAGCGAAAGCGUGGGGAGCGAACAGG
rnacentral:rRNA from 1 species